GUGGGGAAUCUUCCGCAAUGGACGAAAGUCUGACGGAGCAACGCCGCGUGAACGAUGACGGCCUUCGGGUUGUAAAGUUCUGUUAUACGGGACGAAUGGUACGACGGCCAAUACCCGUCGUAAGUGACGGUACCGUAAGAGAAAGCCACGGCUAACUACGUGCCAGCAGCCGCGGUAAUACGUAGGUGGCAAGCGUUGUCCGGAAUUAUUGGGCGUAAAGGGCGCGCAGGCGGCGUCGUAAGUCGGUCUUAAAAGUGCGGGGCUUGACCCCGUGAGGGGACCGAAACUGCGAUGCUAGAGUAUCGGAGAGGAAAGCGGAAUUCCUAGUGUAGCGGUGAAAUGCGUAGAUAUGGGGAGGAACACCAGUGGCGAAGGCGGCUUUCUGGACGGUGUCUGACACUGAGGCGCGAAAGCCAGGGGAGCGAACGGGAUUAGAUACCCUUGUAGUCC
rnacentral:rRNA from 1 species